rnacentral:rRNA from 1 species
GGGUGCGAUCAUACCAACAUUAUUGCACCAGAUCCCAUCAGAACUCCGUAGUUAAGCGCACUUGGGCUAGAGUAGUACUAGGAUGGGUGACCUCUCAGGAAGUCCUAGUGUUGCACCCU